UCUAAUAUUCCACAUGAACAGUCGCUUUACAAAGCCUGUCUUAUUUACCCAGUAGUGGGAGUGAUUGAAAUAGGUUCCUUAAUUCACUUUUAACAUGAAAUUAAAAUAUUUUUGAAAUCGGUCAAAGGAGACCCGAGAAAAAAACUGAUUCAAAUGUUCUCCUCAGAUAGUCACUUAACAAAGUCUUUGGCAUUUGCCCAGUACUGGGAGUGGUCAAAGUAGGUUCUUUACUUCACUCUUAACAUGAAAUCAAAAUAUUUUUGAAAUCAGUCCUUGGGGUCCGGAGAAAACCCGGUUCUAAUAUUCCACAUGAACAGUCGCUUUACAAAGCCUGUCUUAUUUACCCAGUAGUGGGAGUGAUUGAAAUAGGUUCCUUAAUUCACUUUUAACAUGAAAUUAAAAUAUUUUUGAAAUCGGUCAAAGGAGACCCGAGAAAAAAACUGAUUCAAAUGUUCUCCUCAGAUAGUCACUUAACAAAGUCUUUGGCAUUUGCCCAGUACUGGGAGUGGUCAAAGUAGGUUCUUUACUUCACUCUUAACAUGAAAUCAAAAUAUUUUUGAAAUCAGUCCUUGGGGUCCGGAGAAAACCCGGUUCUAAUAUUCCACAUGAACAGUCGCUUUACAAAGCCUGUCUUAUUUACCCAGUAGUGGGAGUGAUUGAAAUAGGUUCCUUAAUUCACUUUUAACAUGAAAUUAAAAUAUUUUUGAAAUCGGUCAAAGGAGACCCGAGAAAAAAACUGAUUCAAAUGUUCUCCUCAGAUAGUCACUUAACAAAGUCUUUGGCAUUUGCCCAGUACUGGGAGUGGUCAAAGUAGGUUCUUUACUUCACUCUUAACAUGAAAUCAAAAUAUUUUUGAAAUCAGUCCUUGGGGUCCGGAGAAAACCCGGUUCUAAUAUUCCACAUGAACAGUCGCUUUACAAAGCCUGACUUAUUUGCCCAGGAGUGGGAGUGAUUGAAGUAGGUUCCUUACUUCACUUUUAACAUGAAAUUAAAAUAUUUUUGAAAUCGGUCCCAGGGGUCCCGAGAAAAACCGUUUCAAAUGUUCUCCUUAGAUAGUCACUUAACAAAGUCUUUGGCAUUUGCCCAGUACUGGGAGUGGUCAAAAUAGGUUCUUUACUUCACUUUAACAUGAAAUUAAAAUAUUUUUGAAAUCUGUCCCAGGGGUCCCGAGGAAAACCGGUUUAAAUGUUCCACAUGAACAGUCUGUUUACAAAGCCUAUGCCAUUUGCCCAGUAGUGGGAGUGGUUGGAAUAGGUUCUUUAAUUCACUCUUAACAAGAAAUCAAAAUAUUUUUGAAAUCGGUCCUAGGGGUCCUGAGAAAUUAAUCUGAUAAGACUUUUCUGCCAAAUAAGUCUUACUCAUAUGUACGUAUAUAGUCAAUCUCAAUGCUCAGGAUCUCGCUGUCAGGAUUCAGUACUGGAAAAUGUUGGAAUGGGUUAUUUUUUUUACUGUGAUUUUCAAAUAAAUUCUAAAAGCGUUGGAUUCUAAUAAGAACUGGGAAUGAUUUUAUGAAAAAAAGGCAAUUACCGCAAUAUUUUUGAAUUUACGGUUUAAAUCUACAAGGCGCCUGCGCUAUGAGCUAUCUUCUAGAAAAAUCUUAUCAAGACGAAUAAAAUAAGCUCGAACACGAGGUAGUUAGUAGAUAUCGUUGAGGAGUUCCCACGUCUCUCUGUCGGCUCCAUUGUCAGGUCAGAUUUUAAAACCUUUACAGUUUUGUGGUGUCUGAGACAUAUACCCGAAUAACAAGGUUUUACUCGAUAUGUGUCUACAAUUUUCGAGAGUCGCUUCCGAUUUUUUUAGAAAUUCCAUCACCAGACCCUGGGCCGGAUGACAAAGGAACCAUUGAGGAAGUAAGCCCUUUCAAACAAUUAAAUAAUUGUUGAAAUCGGUUGGUAAACGACGGAGUUAUGCACGUACAAACAUAAAAAAAUGCAAAUGAAUUAAGAACCUCCUCCAUUUUUGGAAGUCGGUUAAAAAAAAAGUUGUCGUGUACAAUACCUCGUAUUUGUCAAUGAAUAUAAUUCAUUUCAAUUAAGGUAAUAAAAGUGGAAUAGUUAAGAGUUCGUAAGCUUAUUUUAUGUAAUAUUGAAUAAGAGUCAAACCAGUUUUUCUCAGGACUCCCGGGAUAGAUUUCGAAAUGCUUUGGUCUGGGACCUAAUAUAAGCCUAUGGAACCUAAUACACUAUGCAGUUACUGUGGGCAACACUUGAGCCCAACUUCCAUACAAAGAAUAGCAUUGUCCUUUCCAAACUUUACUGUGUAUUUAACUUUUAUACGUCAACGGCAAAAGCACAGCAGACUAAACAAAACGCUAGGAACUAAAGUGCAAUAGGCAUGACCAUAGGGAUAAAAGUAGUGAUUCUAUUUAGUCGAAGUCUGAACGGGCCCUUAAAUAACAAAGUCUCUCAAGUAUGUGUGUGUGUGACUUCAAUUCCAGAUCUGGCAAGUACCUGCCAAUGCAACUUUUCUUAGUUCGCAUGUACAUCAUCAUCAUCAGCCUAUCGCAGUCCCCUGCUGGACAUAGGCCUCUCCAAGUGCACGCCACUGAGAUCGAUUUUCGGCUUUUCGCAUCCAGCUCCUGCCAGCCGUCUUGCGCAAGUCAUCACUCCAUCGUGCCUGAGGACGUCCUACACUACGUUUGCCGAGGCGUGGUCUCCACUCUAGAACUCGUUUACCCCAACGGUUAUCGGUUCUUCGGCUAAUAUGGCCAGCCCACUGCCACUUCAGCUUGCUGAUUCGGUGGGCUAUGUCGAUGACCUUGGUUCUCUGACGGAUUGCCUCAUUUCUGAUGCGAACCCUCAAAGAAACGCCGAGCAUAGCUCUUUCCAUAGCCCGCUGAGCGACUUUAAACUUGUGGAGCAGCCGUACCGUCAGUGUCCACGUUUCGGCUCCGUAAGUCAUGACAGGUUGCCGAAACAAAAGCCACCCGGCAUGAAGACACAAAUCCAAGGCACAAGUCAGCUGUAGAUUUAAGUUUUUCUCAAAACUUACUUAGAAUAAGUGAACAAAUAAAAUACCUUUAAUUAUA
rnacentral:lncRNA from 1 species